GAAAGUUGGGGGUGAAAUCCCGGGGCUCAACCUCGGAACUGCCUCCAAAACUGCCAGUCUAGAGUUCGAGAGAGGUGAGUGGAACUCCAAGUGUAGAGGUGAAAUUCGUAGAUAUUUGGAAGAACACCAGUGGCGAAGGCGGCUCACUGGCUCGAUACUGACGCUGAGGUGCGAAAGUGUGGGGAGCAAACAGGAUUAGAUACCCUGGUAGUCCACACCGUAAACGAUGAAUGCCAGUCGUCGGGUAGUAUACUAUUCGGUGACACACCUAACGGAUUAAGCAUUCCGCCUGGGGAGUACGGUCGCAAGAUUAAAACUCAAAGGAAUUGACGGGGGCCCGCACAAGCGGUGGAGCAUGUGGUUUAAUUCGAAGC
rnacentral:rRNA from 1 species